rnacentral:rRNA from 1 species
GAGCGUUGUCCGGAUUUAUUGGGCGUAAAGAGCUCGUAGGCGGUUCAACAAGUCGGUCGUGAAAGUUCAGGGCUCAACCCUGAAAUGUCGAUCGAUACUGUUGUGACUAGGAUACGGUAGAGGUGAGUGGAAUUCCACGUGUAGCGGUGGAAUGCGUAGAUAUGUGGAGGAACACCAGUGGCGAAGGCGACUCUCUGGUCGGUUUCUGACGCUGAGGUGCGAAAGCGUGGGUAGCAAACAGGAUUAGAUACCCUGGUAGUCCACGCCGUAAACGAUGAGUGCUAGGUGUUAGGGGGCUUCCACCCCUUAGUGCUGAAGUUAACGCAUUAAGCACUCCGCCUGGGGAGUACGGCCGCAAGGCUGAAACUCAAAGGAAUUGACGGGGGCCCGCACAAGCGGUGGAGCAUGUGGUUUAAUUCGAAGCAACGCGAAGAACCUUACCAGGUCUUGACAUCCUUGGACACUUCCAGAGAUGGAAGGUUCCCUUCGGGGACCAAGUGACAGGUGGUGCAUGGUU